rnacentral:siRNA from 1 species
GGUCGUUGCGAUUAAAUUUGAUG